rnacentral:rRNA from 1 species
GAUGAACGCUAGCGGGAGGCUUAACACAUGCAAGUCGAGCGGGAUCCCCUUCGGGGGUGAGAGCGGCGCACGGGUGCGUAACGCGUAUGCAACCUGCCUUAUACAGGGGGAUAGCCCAUGGAAACGUGGAUUAAUAUCCCAUAGGAUUAAAGUUUCGCAUGAAACUAUGAUUAAAACUGAGGUGGUAUAAGAUGGGCAUGCGUCUGAUUAGGUAGUUGGUGGGGUAACGGCCCACCAAGCCGACGAUCAGUAGGGGUUCUGAGAGGAUUACCCCCCACACUGGUACUGAGACACGGACCAGACUCCUACGGGAGGCAGCAGUGGGGAAUUUUGGACAAUGGGCGCAAGCCUGAUCCAGCCAUGCCGCGUGCGGGACGAAGGCCUUCGGGUUGUAAACCGCUUUCAGCCGGAAAGAAAUCGCUGUUUUUAAUACGGACAGUGGAUGACGGUACCGGAAGAAGAAGCACCGGCUAACUACGUGCCAGCAGCCGCGGUAAAGUA